CCGAGGCGGGAGCGAGGCGGUCGGCGCCGUCCCCCGUCGCCACAGCCACUGCAGCUGGCCGCGCCGGGCGAGUGGGAGGGGUGGCGGAGUGGAGGAUGCUACUCCCCGACUGAAGGGAGAGGAAGAAACGGAAACAGGAACCGCGGCCGCUGCUUAACGGAGCCUUCGGCGCCACUGACUGAGGGAAAGCGCAAGGCGGCGCGAGCCAGGCAGAGGCUGACAGCGCGAGACCGAGCGCGAGCCGGGUCCAGGGCGCGCGACCCCGAGCAGCGCCGGCCCCAUUCCACCAGGAACUGUGUUUCUGAAAUGCAAAGAGGACACUGCUUUCAAAAAAGAAAAAGAAAAAAAAUUCCGGGCCUUAAGCAGCUCCUCACCCAAGAGCAGCUCUUCC
rnacentral:lncRNA from 1 species